rnacentral:rRNA from 1 species
ACUGCUCAGUAACACGUGGAUAACCUACCCUUAGGACUGGGAUAACCUUGGGAAACUGAGGCUAAUACCGGAUAGGCAAUUUUUCCUGUAAUGGUUUUUUGUUUAAAUGUUUUUUCGCCUAAGGAUGGGUCUGCGGCCGAUUAGGUAGUUGGUUAGGUAAUGGCUUACCAAGCCGUUGAUCGGUACGGGUUGUGAGAGCAAGAGCCCGGAGAUGGAACCUGAGACAAGGUUCCAGGCCCUACGGGGUGCAGCAGGCGCGAAACCUCCGCAAUGUGAGAAAUCGCGACGGGGGGAUCCCAAGUGCCAUUCUUAACGGGAUGGCUUUUCAUUAGUGUAAAAAGCUUUUGGAAUAAGAGCUGGGCAAGACCGGUGCCAGCCGCCGCGGUAACACCGGCAGCUCUAGUGGUAGCAAUUUUUAUUGGGCCUAAAGCGUCCGUAGCCGGUUUAAUAAGUCUCUGGUGAAAUCCUGUAGCUUAACUGUGGGAAUUGCUGGAGAUACUAUUAGACUUGAGACCGGGAGAGGUUAGAGGUACUCCCAGGGUAGAGGUGAAAUUCUGUAAUCCUGGGAGGACCGCCUGUUGCGAAGGCGUCUAACUGGAACGGUUCUGACGGUGAGGGACGAAAGUUAGGGGCGCGAACCGGAUUAGAUACCCGGGUAGUCCUAACUGUAAACGAUGCGGACUUGGUGUUGGGGUGGCUUUGAGCUGCUCCAGUGCCGAAGGGAAGCUGUUAAGUCCGCCGCCUGGGAAGUACGGUCGCAAGACUGAAACUUAAAGGAAUUGGCGGGGGAGCAC